AGGUCACAAGAUAUCUCAAAAGCCUCACAAUACGAGUUAUACCAAUACAGGCUCACCAGAUUGUAAAUGGAGCGCCGCCGGCUCGCGGUUAGCUGCCUGCCUCUCAGACACGGCGCUUUGCCCAGCUUGACAGGGAGUGAGCCUCACCCACCCCAUCCUCCCAAUCCCCCUGAGUUCCCUCCUCCCAGGCUUCCCCUAAAGGGCCUGGACUGCGUCAUUUUCCCAGGAACUGCAGUGCCCAGCCCAGGACGUGGUACAGAGUAACUGUACAUUAAACUGGCAGAGCUCGUUAGUGGUAAAGGUGGUGAGUCCUUGGGUGCGCAGCGGAGCUGCUCUGGGGCCUCUGAGCAAGCAGCAGCCUCUGUCUCACCUCUUCCCGUCACUGGGAGGGCCCCUUGGGUCUCGCUGUGCCUGGGGGCCAGGCUCUCUGCUUUAUUCUUUCAUCCCUGAGGCUCCAUCGCUCAGCUCAGUGCUGACUCAGUUCAGAGGAUUCUUCCCUCAGGACCGCAGCUCUUGCAGUGAAUAAAGUUUUAUGUUCCCUGCUCUUAAUGUUAAAUAUUAGUGAAUGUGACGUGUUAUAUUUUUCUCUCUCGGUGGGGGGAAGAGCUAAAUUACUUUUUACUUGCAUUGGCCCUGAAAUGAUUCUUAGCUAAGGAACAAAAUUCCUCUUCUUCUGGACUAGAAUAUUUAGGACCACUAGAUAUGCAUGUCUCAGGACUUAAUUCAGCAUCAGAAAGGCUAACCAGGCUGACUAGUAGAGGUAAUACUGCCAAAUCCUAGAUAGUCACAGGUCACUAAAGCACAGAUAAAUGGCAGAGAGAAGUAGGAAAGAGGAAAGGGGACAGGAAAGGGACCUAUGUGUAUUGAGCACUAAUAUGUGCCACAUGUUUAACAGCCUUUAUUUUAGUUAAUUGUCUCCUCUCUCCCACCUAGAGAAGUAGGCCCCAUCAUCCUUAUUUUACAGAUGAGGAAACUGAGGCUGGGAGAGGUCAAUUAACUUGCCCAGAGUCAUGUGGCUAAGUUGGGACUUCUUGAGCUCUGGUCUCCUGAUCCUUCCCUUCUUUCCUUCCUUCCUUCGGCAGAGCGUCCCUCUGUCACUCAGGCUGGAAUGCAGUAGUGCAAUCUUGGCUCACUGCAACCUCCACCUCCCAGGUUCAAGCAAUUCUCGUGCCUCAGACUCCCGAGUAGCGGGGAUUACAGGUGCGAGCCACCACACCUGGCUAAUCUUUCUUUUUCUUUCUUUCUUUCUUCCUUCCUUCCUCUUUCCUGCUUGCUUGCUUGCUUGCUUGCCUGCUUUCGACGGAGUCUUACUCUGUUGCUCAGGCUGGAGUGCAGUGGCGUGAUCGCAGCUUACUGCAACCUCCGCCUCCCAGGUUCAAGUGAUUCUCCUCUCUCAGCCUCCUGAGUAGCUGGGACUACAGGCACCUGUCACCAUGCCUGACUAAUUUUUGUAUUUUUAGUAGAGACAGGGUUUCACCAUAUUAGUCAGGCUGGUCUCAAACUCCUGACCUCAGGCGAUCCACCUGCCUCGGCCUCCUAAAGUGCUGGGAUUACAGGUGUGAGCCACCAUGCCUGGCCUAUUUUUUGUAUUUUUAGUAGAGGUUUCACUAUGUUGGCCAGGCUGGUCUCGAACUCCUGGCCUCAGGUGAUCCACCUGCCUCAGCCUCCCAAAAUGAUGGCAUUAUAGGUGUGAGCCACUGCGCCCCUCCUGGUCUCCUGAUUUCAAUACUGUGCUGGGUUUUCAGAAAGCCAGGUGCCAGGCCAGGGCUUGCAGAGGGGCUGAAAUGAAGCCAGGCCAGAAGACAGAGCAGCCAGGACUCUGACUGGACAGAACAGCCAGGACUUGGGCAGCAGCACUAUUGGGAUUUGGGGGCUCUCCAGCCCGUUUGGAAGAGCCUAGGCUCUCUCUGCCCGGUUGCAUAGGUUCUCAUACUCAUGAUGGGGGGGUGCGAUGGGGAAGCCGGGCAUGGGAGAGGAUGGCUCAUGCCCUGAAAGUCCAUGAGAGGCCUCCUCUCCCCACAUCUGCAGAAACCAGCCUGGACACCAAGUCUGUGUCAGAAGGCCACCUCAAGAGGAACAUCGUGGUGAAGACCGUGGAGAUGCGGGAUGGAGAGGUCAUUAAGGAGUCCAAGCAGGAGCACAAGGAUGUGAUGUGAGGCAGGACCCACCUGGUGGCCUCUGCCCCGUCUCAUGAGGGGCCCGAGCAGAAGCAAGAUAGUUGCUCCGCCUCUGCUGGCACAUUUCCCCAGACCUGAGCUCCCCACCACCCCAGCUGCUCCCCUCCCUCCUCUGUCCCUAGGUCAGCUUGCUGCCCUAGGCUCCGUCAGUAUCAGGCCUGCCAGACGGCACCCACCCAGCACCCAGCAACUCCAACUAACAAGAAACUCACCCCCAAGGGGCAGUCUGGAGGGGCAUGGCCAGCAGCUUGCGUUAGAAUGAGGAGGAAGGAGAGAAGGGGAGGAGGGCGGGGGGUACCUACUACAUCGCCCUCCACAUCCCUGAUUCCUGUUGUUAUGGAAACUGUUGCCAGAGAUGGAGGUUCUCUCGGAGUAUCUGGGAACUGUGCCUUUGAGUUUCCUCAGGCUGCUGGAGGAAAACUGAGACUCAGACAGGAAAGG
rnacentral:sRNA from 1 species